GAUGAACGCUGGCGGCGUGCCUAAUACAUGCAAGUCGAGCGAACGGACGAGAAGCUUGCUUCUCUGAUGUUAGCGGCGGACGGGUGAGUAACACGUGGAUAACCUACCUAUAAGACUGGGAUAACUUCGGGAAACCGGAGCUAAUACCGGAUAAUAUUUUGAACCGCAUGGUUCAAAAGUGAAAGACGGUCUUGCUGUCACUUAUAGAUGGAUCCGCGCUGCAUUAGCUAGUUGGUAAGGUAACGGCUUACCAGGGCAACGAUGCAUAGCCGACCUGAGAGGGUGAUCGGCCACACUGGAACUGAGACACGGUCCAGACUCCUACGGGAGGCGGCAGUAGGGAAUCUUCCGCAAUGGGCGAAAGCCUGACGGAGCAACGCCGCGUGAGUGAUGAAGGUCUUCGGAUCGUAAAACUCUGUUAUUAGGGAAGAACAUAUGUGUAAGUAACUGUGCACAUCUUGACGGUACCUAAUCAGAAAGCCACGGCUAACUACGUG
rnacentral:rRNA from 1 species